AGCGUCCCACUCUUUCAUUUCACAUGCUGCUUGUAAGAGAUUAGAACUGACUCCACAAUUGGCUGAGACAACUUUAGAGGUUAGCACCCCUGGUGGUGGAAGAUUGGCUGCUAAGGACAUUAUCUCAAACUUAGAGCUGAACAUAGGUGCUGAAACGUUUAAGGCAGAUUUGUACGUCAUCUCUAUGAUAGAAUUCGACAUAAUCAUAG
rnacentral:lncRNA from 1 species